rnacentral:rRNA from 1 species
GAUGAACGCUAGCGGGAGGCCUAACACAUGCAAGCCGAGCGGUAUUGUUUCUUCGGAAAUGAGAGAGCGGCGUACGGGUGCGGAACACGUGUGCAACCUGCCUUUAUCUGGGGGAUAGCCUUUCGAAAGGAAGAUUAAUACUCCAUAACAUAUUGAUUGGCAUCAAUUAAUAUUGAAAGCUCCGGCGGAUAGAGAUGGGCACGCGCAAGAUUAGCUAGUUGGUGAGGUAACGGCUCACCAAGGCGAUGAUCUUUAGGGGGCCUGAGAGGGUGAUCCCCCACACUGGUACUGAGACACGGACCAGACUCCUACGGGAGGCAGCAGUGAGGAAUAUUGGUCAAUGGGUGCAAGCCUGAACCAGCCAUCCCGCGUGAAGGACGACUGCCCUAUGGGUUGUAAACUUCUUUUGUAUAGGGAUAAACCUACCCUCGUGAGGGUAGCUGAAGGUACUAUACGAAUAAGCACCGGCUAACUCCGUGCCAGCAGCCGCGGUAAUAUGGAGGGUGCAAGCGUUAUCCGGAUUUAUUGGGUUUAAAGGGUCCGUAGGCGGACUUAUAAGUCAGUGGUGAAAGCCUGUCGCUUAACGAUAGAACUGCCAUUGAUACUGUAAGUCUUGAGUAUAUUUGAGGUAGCUGGAAUAAGUAGUGUAGCGGUGAAAUGCAUAGAUAUUACUUAGAACACCAAUUGCGAAGGCAGGUUACCAAGAUAUAACUGACGCUGAGGGACGAAAGCGUGGGGAGUGAACAGGAUUAGAUACCCUGGUAGUCCACGCCGUAAACGAUGCUAACUCGUUUUUGGGCUUUAGGGUUCAGAGACCAAGCGAAAGUGAUAAGUUAGCCACCUGGGGAGUACGCUCGCAAGAGUGAAACUCAAAGGAAUUGACGGGGGCCCGCACAAGCGGUGGAUUAUGUGGUUUAAUUCGAUGAUACGCGAGGAACCUUACCAAGACUUAAAUGGGAAUUGACAGCUUUAGAAAUAGAGCUUUCUUCGGACAAUUUUCAAGGUGCUGCAUGGUUGUCGUCAGCUCGUGCCGUGAGGUGUUAGGUUAAGUCCUGCAACGAGCGCAACCCCUGUCACUAGUUGCCAUCAUUCAGUUGGGGACUCUAGUGAGACUGCCUAUGCAAGUAGAGAGGAAGGUGGGGAUGACGUCAAAUCAUCACGGCCCUUACGUCUUGGGCCACACACGUAAUACAAUGGCCGGUACAGAGGGCAGCUACACAGCGAUGUGAUGCAAAUCUCGAAAGCCGGUCUCAGUUCGGAUUGGAGUCUGCAACUCGACUCUAUGAAGCUGGAAUCGCUAGUAAUCGCGCAUCAGCCAUGGCGCGGUGAAUACGUUCCCGGGCCU